CCUGGUGAUUCAUACUGCGUUGGUCCCACACCAAUCCAUCUCGAACUUGGUUGUGAAACGAUGCAGGGGCAAGAAGAACUUUUAGGGAGACUUACUGGAAUCUCUUGCCUAUUGCCAGGGU
rnacentral:rRNA from 1 species